rnacentral:rRNA from 1 species
AACGAACGCUGGCGGCAGGCCUAACACAUGCAAGUCGAACGAGAAGUCACCUUCGGGUGACGGAAAGUGGCGCACGGGUGAGUAACGCGUGGGAACCUACCCAGGGGUACGGAACAACUCAGGGAAACUUGAGCUAAUGCCGUAUACGCCUUCCGAGGGAAAGAUUUAUCGCCCCUGGACGGGCCCGCGUCGGAUUAGCUAGUUGGUGAGGUAAUGGCUCACCAAGGCUACGAUCCGUAGCUGGUCUGAGAGGAUGAUCAGCCACACUGGAACUGAGACACGGUCCAG